ACGGCAUAUUGUAAACACUGGACUGGACUUUGGACUGGACUUUGGACUUUGGACUAUGGACUUUGGACUUUGGACUUUGGACUAUGGACUUUGGACUUUGGACUUUGGACUUUCGAUUUUGAAAUUAUAUUAUUUUUUAGAUUUUCGUAUAAUUAUAUUAAAAUCUAAACAGAGAACGAAAAUUUGCUGCUGAAAAGCGUGCUACACUGCAUGCACAUGCAUGAUAUAAUAAUAUACAAG